UGCUAACAUAACCUGAAGUCCGGCCCAUUUUGUACAUUUUUUUAAGCCAAGGAGGAGGGUGUUGGAUUAAUUCUAGCCAUUGAUUAAUGUAUGGAAAUUGAUUGGGGUGGCCCGGGGACCCUGUCACAAUGUCCCAGACAGCCUGAGUUAUCUUGGGGUUGUAUGUCCCCGUAUCUGGCCAGCCUACCCUAAAGGCUGGCCACUCCAAUUCACAGAGAGUCCGAAGCCUUUGUAGGGUUAGUUUAACCCCAUACUGGCCAGAGAACCCUGUUUUAAAAUUUGCCGUCAUGCACCGGAGGGGGUGCAUGGUCGGGACUGUGACGAGCCCAGUUAGUUUUUUUUUUCUCUCUCUCUCUUUCUUUUCUCUCUCGGGGUCCUGGAACCCGUAUUAGCUAUUUUUUUUUGUUCGUUUCUUUGUUUUAAGCCAACUCAAAUGGAAAAGUUCUGUUGCAGAGAGCCAAUUUUAACUGCGCUAACAAGUCACUUGCAUUAUAAAGGGUUGGAAAGCUUUUUAAAGCCAGAUUCGGGAUGCAAAUGCUGCACCCUGAGGCGGUGUGGCCUGCCUCACACCCAGGUGGGGCUCCCGGCUGACAGGAGAGAAAGAAAAAAAUGCUUUUUGUGUCAGUUUAAAAUGGAGCUUGCAGCCCCUAGGCCAGCUGCGAGAUUCCCGCCCCUGUGGCUUUUUGGUCACCUUGACACAGGGACCCUAAAAACAUUAAAUCCCUCUUUUCCCUCCUGUCUCUCUCCUCUCCCCUCUGUUUCCUUUCCCCUUCCCUCUCUUCUCUCUCUUUCUCCCUCUCUCCUCUCUGUCUCUUUUCUCCUCUCUACUCUCUCCUCUCUCUCUCCUCUCUGUCUCUUUUCUCCGCUCCUCUCUCUCUCCCUCUCUCUCCUGUCUCUUUUCUCCUCUCCUCUCUCUCUCCCUCUCUCUCCUCUUUUCUCCUCUCCUCUACUCUCUCCUCUCUCUCUCUCCCUCUCUCUCUCCUGUCUCUUUUCUUCUCUCCUCUACUCUCUCCUCGCUCUCUCUCCCUCUCUCUCUCCCCUCUGUCUCUUUUCUCCUCUCCUCUCUCUCUCUCUCUCCUGUCUCUUUUCUCCUCUCCUCUCUCCUCUCUCUCCCUCUCUCUCCUCUCUGUCUCUUUUCUCCUCUCCUCUCUCUCUCUCCCUCUCUCUCCUGUCUCUUUUCUCCUCUCCUCUCCUCUCUCUCUCCCUCUCUCUCUCCUGUCUCUUUUCUCCCUGUCUCUUAUACACAUCUAGAUGUGUAUAAGAGACAGGCCUCAA
rnacentral:lncRNA from 1 species